rnacentral:rRNA from 1 species
AUUGAACGCUGGCGGCAUGCUUUACACAUGCAAGUCGAACGGUAACAGGCCGCAAGGUGCUGACGAGUGGCGAACGGGUGAGUAAUGCAUCGGAACGUGCCCAGUCGUGGGGGAUAACGCAGCGAAAGCUGUGCUAAUACCGCAUACGAUCUAUGGAUGAAAGCGGGGGACCGUAAGGCCUCGCGCGAUUGGAGCGGCCGAUGUCAGAUUAGGUAGUUGGUGGGGUAAAGGCUCACCAAGCCAACGAUCUGUAGCUGGUCUGAGCGGACGACCAGCCACACUGGGACUGAGACACGGCCCAGACUCCUACGGGAGGCAGGAGUGGGGAAUUUUGGACAAUGGGCGCAAGCCUGAUUCAGCAAUGCCGCGUGCAGGAAGAAGGCCUUCGGGUUGUAAACUGCUUUUGUACGGAACGAAACGGCGAGCUCUAAUACAGUUUGCUAAUGACGGUACCGUAAGAAUAAGCACCGGCUAACUACGUGCCAGCCGCCGCGGUAA